UUUGCUCGGUCUGUGUGGGCUGUUGUUCGAAUAGUUUCAAAUCUUUACCCACCACGUAGUGCACGGAAUAUAUUCGGCAAUUGGUUGAGGGGUAUUCAAAAACAAUUUUCUACACACAUUCUAGUGGGGGCAGCUGCCUUAUGUUGGGCACUGUGGCUUACCAGGAAUGAUGUAGUGUUUAAUAAUAAAAGUGUUUCAUCUCCUAUGCAAGUUAUCCAUGCAUGCUCGCGAUGGCUCCGUACUUGGUCUAUCUUGCAGAGGCCGAAGGACAGGGACCUUUUUAUGAUGGUGUCUACACGGCUGGAGCGUACGGCCAGAGAGGUUUUUUACCCCCAUGGAUGGCGGUGUGAUCUUCGGAUAUAUCUGCCACGUCCUAGACUGGCUUAUGUUUUUUUCCUUAGCUACUUUUUUGCUUUUUCGGACUUGUGGACUUGUUGGCUGUGUGCAUCUGGUUAUGCAGAGGCCGGGCUUUCUUACGAUGCGAUUGUAUCACCUCGAUAUUUCAAUUCAAUGAAAUGCUCUUUAUCGAAAAAAAAUCUUUCCUUGUGUACAAGGAGCAUUAUUUUUGGUGGUGUGGUGGUCAGUAGAAAUGCUGGCGCUAGAAUGGAGUCGCUGCAGAAGGUUGAUGAUUUGGUGUUGUGUUUCUUAGCUUAUGCUUUGCUAAAAUUGUCCUGUUACUAUGUGUGCAAUCGGGCCAUGUUUCUGGCGACAUGGACUUUAAGAAGCCUGCAUGAGCGCGUGAUCUGUCAAUGUUUGCGCAUCUAA
rnacentral:rRNA from 1 species